AUGGCGUCAGACACCGAGGGCAUAGCCGCGCUGUUCUCCAUGUACAACGAUGACGACGAAGAGGACGCCGACGAGCCCGGACCUCCUUCCCCGCCGCCGCCCGCUGCGGCAACCUCCCCCUCCACGUCACCUCGAGCCAGAGGCGAGAGCUCCAACCCUAACUCGAACCCCAACCCUUCGCCGGAGCACUCGCCCCCUCCCCUUCCCGAGGAGCAGGCCGGCCGCAAAACCCUAGCGAGCCCCCAGGUCUCGCCGGCGCUUCCGCCGCUGCCCUCGCGCCGUUCGCCCCUGCCCUUCGCGGUUUCGUCCCCCUCCCCAUCUCGUCCCCAGCUGUCCGCCCCGCCGCCCGAUCUACCCCGCCCGCCACGGCGCGGGUCGCUUGCUAUAGUGGACUACGCGCACGACGAGAUGGCAAUGUCGCCUGACCAGGAGGACGGGGAGAUCAUGAGUGGCAUAGGCGGUUUGGGCUCGGAUGCUCAGGAUGCUGAGGGGAUUCUUGAAGAAAGAGUUCUCUCAGGGACUGUUCAUAUUCUCACCCCAAAAGUCCUAUCAGAAACUUCUCAGCAUUUGGAUGCACCUGAGCAGAACCAAAUGGGGGCAGAUGUUCCAGUGGAUGUAACUGGAACAGAAGCUGAAGAUGCUAGGGUGGAGGAAGCUUCUGAUAUUUCUACCAAUGUUCAGAAUGAUGAUCCAUUGAGCCGUUUCCUUCCUCCGCCCGUGACUACAAAAUGUUCUACAGCAUUACAGCAAAGAAUUAACAAGUUCCUUGGAUACAAAAGGUCUGGAAAGAGCUUUAAUGCUGAAGUGCGUAACAGAAAGGACUACAGAAAUCCUGACUUUUUGCAGCAUGCUGUGCGGUACCAAGAAAUUGAUCAGAUAGGGACCUGCUUCAGUAAAGAUGUUUUCAAUCCAUAUGGGUACGAUAAAAGUGACUACUACGAUGAGAUAGAAGCUGAUAUGAAGCGUGAACUUGAGAGGAAGGAACAGGAGAAGAAAAGAAAUCCAAGAAUUGAUUUUACUAGCUCUGGAGUACAACCUCCAAUCAAUCCAUCAAUAGCGAAGAUUUCAGCCGCCAUAUCAGCAGCAGCUGUAGCUGGUGUAUCGGUUCCGGCAUCGGCAGAUACUGUACAGAAAGAGGCUAGGCCAAACAAAAAGUCAAAAUGGGAUAAGGUUGAUGGUGAUACUAAGAACCCUGCAGCUGCUAGUGGACUUGACAAUCGGUCAGCAGCCGGUGGAUCUGCCACACUUUUGACUUCUGAAAAUGCUGGUGCUGGUGGAUAUGCUGCUUUCGCGCAACAGAAGAGAAAAGAAGCUGAAGAAAGGCGCAAGUGA
rnacentral:rRNA from 1 species